rnacentral:rRNA from 1 species
AGCGGCACAAGGGUGAGUAACGCGUGAGCGAUCUGCCCCCGACUGCGGGAUAGCGCCGGGAAACCGGGAUUAAUACCGCAUGGUGAUGAUCAUUCGAUUGAUCAUCUAAAGGUUGACUCCGGUCGGGGAUGAGCUCGCGUCCCAUUAGCUUGUUGGUAGGGUAACGGCCUACCAAGGCCGAGACGGGUAGCUGGUCUGAGAGGACGGUCAGCCACACUGGGACUGAGACACUGCCCAGACUCCUAGGGGAGGCUGCAGUCGAGAAUCUUCCGCAAUGGGCGCAAGCCUGACGGAGCGAUGCCGCGUGAGGGAUGACGGCCUUCGGGUUGUAAACCUCUGUCAGGGGGGACGAAAACAAUGACGGUACCCCCAGAGGAAGCCACGGCUAACUACGUGCCAGCAGCCGCGGUAAUACGUAGGUGGCGAGCGUUAUUCGGAAUUACUGGGCGUAAAGGGUCCGCAGGGGGUCUGUCAAGUCCGGCGUGAAAGCCCGAGGCUCAACUUCGGGUCGGCGUUGGAUACUGACGGACUUGAGUGCACGAUGGGAGAGCAGAAUUCCUGGUGUAGCGGUGGAAUGCGUAGAUAUCAGGAAGAAUACCGGCGGCGAGGCGGCUCUCUGGCGUGCUACUGACCCUCAGGGACGAAAGUGUGGGUAGCGAACAGGAUUAGAUACCCUGGUAGUCCACACCGUAAACGUUGUGUACUAGAUGCGGGCGGCGCUCCGGUGUAGUCCGUGUCCAAGUUAAC